AGAGGUCCCACCUGCCCGGUGACACCAAUUUAACGGCCGCGGUAUCCUGACCGUGCGAAGGUAGCGUAAUCAUUUGUCUUUUAAAUGGGGACUUGUAUGAAUGGUAUAACGAGGGCUUAACUGUCUCCUCCCUCUUGUCAAUGAAAUUGAUCUCCCCGUGCAGAAGCGGGGAUACUCUCAUAAGACGAGAAGACCCUAUGGAGCUUUAGAUACUAAGGUAGACCAUAUUCCAUAACCCCUUGUUAAAGGAGUAAAUCUAUGCUAAUCCUACCCCUAUAUCUUCGGUUGGGGCGACAAUGGGGAAAUAAAAAUCCCCCAUGCGGAACGGGAAAAUUUUAUCUAAGAAAUUAUUCUUACCAUAAAGCUACUUCCCCAAAUUAAGAGUGACAACUCUAAAUUACAGUAUUUCUGACCAUAAAUGAUCCGGCAUUUGCCGAUUAACGGACCAAGUUACCCUAGGGAUAACAGCGCAAUCCCCUUUUAGAGCCCACAUCAACAAGGGGGUUUACGACCUCGAUGUUGGAUCAGGACAUCCUAUUGGUGCAGCCGCUAUUAAGGGUUCGUUUGUUCAACGAUUAAAGUCCUACGUGAUCUGA
rnacentral:rRNA from 1 species